rnacentral:rRNA from 1 species
GAUGAACGCUAGCUACAGGCUUAACACAUGCAAGUCGAGGGGCAGCAUGGUCUUAGCUUGCUAAGGCCGAUGGCGACCGGCGCACGGGUGGGUAACACGUAUCCAACCUGCCGUCUACUCUUGGACAGCCUUCUGAAAGGAAGAUUAAUACAAGAUGGCAUCAUGAGUCCGCAUGUUCACAUGAUUAAAGGUAUUCCGGUAGACGAUGGGGAUGCGUUCCAUUAGAUAGUAGGCGGGGUAACGGCCCACCUAGUCUUCGAUGGAUAGGGGUUCUGAGAGGAAGGUCCCCCACAUUGGAACUGAGACACGGUCCAAACUCCUACGGGAGGCAGCAGUGAGGAAUAUUGGUCAAUGGGCGAGAGCCUGAACCAGCCAAGUAGCGUGAAGGAUGACUGCCCUAUGGGUUGUAAACUUCUUUUAUAAAGGAAUAAAGUCGGGUAUGGAUACCCGUUUGCAUGUACUUUAUGAAUAAGGAUCGGCUAACUCCGUG